AAUUUCUGUACGUUUAUCUACCAUUCAAAACUAAAAUGGCCACUAGACACUCUAAUCACUUGUAGUUUGUCUGUUCAACAACAUAAUUACGUCCUCAAUCAGCUUUGAAUUGGAAGGGAAAGCACCAGCCUUAUAAGCCAAAUCUGUUACUUAUCUAUCAGGUUCCAUGGGAGGUAAAGUAAUAAGGAGAAAUGAAAUAUCAUUGUAAUUGUCACUGAGUGUUUAGUUCAUUAGGCACUCUUUCUUCCUUCUCUUCUGGAGCAAACUCUUUCCCUUCCACUCAGGGUUGGCUUUCUUCUGCUUCAACUCUGGAGGGAAUGCCAAUCGCGAAACUCUGGGGAUUGGGCAUGUAGUGCAGGCCUGGCCACUGUGACAUGUCCAGGAGAGAGCAGGGGACCUAAGCCAGAACAAGCAAAGGCAUUCCCUGGUAUUCUUUACCCUUCUGGGAAGAAGGGUGGUGAGAGCUCCUUCCUUCAGAUCUCCAAGUUGAAAUGAUAUAGGCAUGAAGCUUCACUCAACCCCUGGGCCUCUUGCCAGAACCCUCCACAUGCACUCCUCAGUACUUGGGGAACAGAAAGGAAUGAGAUGAAUGCACAUGGCUACAAGAAACGAGAACUAACAGAAAAUAAAAAGCCUCGAGACUUUCACUUGAUCUAGCUAAGAGCUCUAAAGCAGUGUUAUUUCUUCAGAACUUCCUUCAGUGUUUGAGCUACCCAGGAAUUCUUCCAGUAAACUUGUUUGCUGGGUUUUGUUUUUGCUGUGGUUGUUUUGCCUUGAGCUAGUUUGAGUUGGAUUUUUGUCACUUGAACACAGGAAGCCAUUAGACUGUACAAUUACAAAAUAUUAGGUUCUCCUAUGGUAGAAAACAGAGAUAACCACUGUUACCGAAUAGUAUCUUUCGGGUGGGUUUUAAAAUAAACAGUUUCCCUAGGAAAAGAGCCAGCCUGCCUGCAUAUGGCAGGGAAGUGUGACACAAAGCACCAGACUGGUUUUGGCAAACACAGGGAGGAGCCAAUUUCCAAAAGCUCUACAGUUUUAAUCCCCACUGGCAUGCAAUGUUUGUUUGUAUCUCACCCUUCUAUGUGUAAAACUGGACUCAAAAUUUGCACACUUAAGGAAUCUCUCUCUCUCUUCCUCUCUCUCUCUCUCUCACACACACACACACACCCCUCUUCCUGAUUUUCUUGAUUUUGAUAUGAUCUCAUUUGGGCCAGAAGUAAUGCCUCCUAGAACUCUAUCUUCCUG
rnacentral:lncRNA from 1 species